rnacentral:rRNA from 1 species
CCGGCACGGGUGCGUAACGCGUAUGCAACCUACCUUUAACAGGGGGAUAACACUGAGAAAUUGGUACUAAUACCCCAUAAUAUCAUAGAAGGCAUCUUUUAUGGUUGAAAAUUCCGAUGGUUAGAGAUGGGCAUGCGUUGUAUUAGCUAGUUGGUGGGGUAACGGCUCACCAAGGCGACGAUCAGUAGCCGACCUGAGAGGGUGAUCGGCCACAUUGGGACUGAGACACGGCCCAA